rnacentral:misc_RNA from 1 species
GUAGUUUUUUUUUUUUUUUUUUCCAAGAUAGUUACCCAUGCAAUUCUCCAUAAGUCAAAUAGUGAUAGUAAGAUUAAUGAGAAAUGAUGUCAUUGAAAGCAUAUUUACAUUCAAUAACACAACUCUUGCUGCCACAUGAUGUUGGUGAGAAAAACAGGAUGAAAGCAAAAAUCUAACCUAUAUACUAGCACAAUUUAUCAGCAUACAAGGAUCACAUCUAUCUUGAUUUCUCUAUGUUUAAGUGUUUACGCAGAAGACAAUAGGUAAUGGAGAUAAAAUUUAAAACCAACAAUGCCAGUUAUUUUUGCAUGAAACUAGCUAAAAACACAGUAACUAAUGUACCAAGUCAAAAUAAUUAUAAAAGAGAAAAUGGAUUGCAUAAACCACAAAUCAAAAGAGGAAUGCUAGGCGACACAACAAUAUUAAAAACAAGUGCAUCUAAAUAGCAAAACCUAUACAUGCUAAGGACCUUUAAACAGAAAGUACAAAUUGAUUAAAUAAAAUUUGUAAAUGUUUGACAAAACCCCUGAUCAGAUAUCAUAAUAUCUGAUCAGAUGUCAUUAGAUAUUGAUGCGUACGUAAAAAACAUAAACUUGCUGAGGUAGAGUGCAAGAUGUAAAACCAAUUGGCUUGGUAUGAUAUUCUUUUGAUGGUAAUGAUGAUGUAAAGUUGCAACCAAGGGUGCAGAAGGUUUACGAGUGCAGCAUCAAAAAUUAAAACCAAAUAGAAACUACCACAGUUCAUCAAUUGAAAAUCUGUGGACGCAGUUUGUAAGUGGAUUGAUAGGGUGCCUGCUAGGCUAUUGACUUUCUAUCACUACAGCAAACAUAGUGUAUGAUUCAACACACAAAGAGCUUUAGCGAACUAAGUUUAAAGGAAAUUUCAUUAGAGUUUAGCAGCACUUUGCAAAUUGCAAUCUAUUAGCAGAUGCAUUUGUUUUCUUGUACUUGUUCAAGGAGAGGCUCAACAGACUUUAAGUUGAGCACCUCCACCGUGGCCAGGUGGGCAACCUAACUGAGGUGCACGCCUUAUUGCCUAGGAACACAACUUUUUUCCAGGCAAAUAAGGCACAGCUCAGCACACCUCUGUCACAUUUUGACAGGCACCAUUCAUCUUUUCUAUUUACUUGAUAUUAUAUACUCUAAACUGUUGAUAUAAGGCGAGAAUUAGUUUAUGGUAUAUUGUAAUACAGCCAAAUCAAAAUUGAAAGCAACACACAC